AAAUUUUAAAAAAAAAAAAAAAAAAAAAAAAAAAAAAAAAAAAAAAACCAAGUAGGACCUCGUAGGAGAAGAAAAUGAUAACUACCCUGUAAAAUUAUUAAGCAAAACACCAGAUGUUCAUUGAACAGGUGGAAGUAGGAAAUCUGUCCCUAAAUUCUAUCAGAGUAAAGCAACCAAAAGCAUCAUAUUCAUUUCUACUGGAUUUGACCAAAAAGUGUACAGAUAUUAUGUUAUAUCCCCCAAAGAUACUCUCUAGUAAAGGCCUUAUCAUAAGACAGCUAUGUGACAAU
rnacentral:lncRNA from 1 species